CUUCUACAUUUUCUGCUUAUAAUAGCCAGUGUUACAGUCGUGUGCCUGGUAUUUGGAAAGCAAAGAAGCAGAAGAAGUCAGUAGUGUAGCAGUAGCACAACACAACAACAACAGGUUCAGCAACAAAAGCAGUAAACCAGUAACAACGGUGCAGGAAGACCCCAGGAAUAGAUUUGAAACCAAUGCAGAAAAUCCAGCAAUAACCAGUGAAGUAGAAACAGUACUAGUUCUGAUAUUCAGCGGUGAAGAAAAGAUCUCCAUUUUACUCUUAAGUCCUGAAAUUUUUUAUCUCUCCCCCAAAAUUCUUCUCUCGUAUUGGAAUAUUUUUUUCUCUCUAAA
rnacentral:lncRNA from 1 species